rfam:Sorex araneus cont1.189716, whole genome shotgun sequence.
UCUGUGUCUGUUCCCUUCAGUCGUUUUAGUAGAUCCAGGUAAAUAUUGAUUUACCCCCAGUUUGCCUCCUUCCUCUGGCCAUUUGCAGACUAAGGAACUGGCCUCCAAAGAGACUUGAUUUUUGUGUUACUUUCCAGCCCCUUCUCCCCCCCUUUCAUCCUCCAAGAACCAUUGUAAAACUCGCAGUGACAAAGAGAGUGGGUAGGGUUUGAGGCCCCUGUUCCUGAGGACUUGAGUGCUGUUUUACAUACGGGUCAGACACGGCUAGAGGCCAAGGUCAAGUUGAAAGCUGCAGUCUAGCCAGUGUGCGAACUGCAAGCCCGGAGACUCAGGACCCCCUGUGCUGUACAAGGCCCACCUCGCUCUA